GACGGAGGGUGCAAGCGUUGCUCGGAAUUACUGGGCGUAAAGGGCGCGUAGGCGGUCUGUUAAGUUCGGUGUGAAAGCCCCCGGCUCACCUGGGGAACUGCGCCGGAAACCGACAGACUCGAGUACCGGAGAGGAGGGUGGAAUUCCUGGUGUAGCGGUGAAAUGCGUAGAUAUCAGGAGGAACACCGGUGGCGAAGGCGGCCCUCUGGACGGAUACUGACGCUGAGGCGCGAAAGCGUGGGGAUCAAACAGG
rnacentral:rRNA from 1 species